rnacentral:rRNA from 1 species
GACAGAGGAGCCAAGCGUUGUCCGGAUUGACUGGGCGUAAAGCGCACGCAGGCGGAUGCGCGCGUGGGGUGUGAAAUCUGGCCGCUUAACGGCCAGGCGCCAUCCCAUACGGCGCGUCUGGAGUGAUGCAGAGGUCGGUGGAAUUGCCGGUGUAGUGGUGAAAUGCGUAGAUAUCGGAAGGAACACCAGUGGCGAAAGCGGCUUCCUGGUCCAGCACCGACGUUCAGGCACGAAAGCGUGGGGAGCAAACAGG